UGGCGAACGGGUGAGUAACACGUGAGUAACCUGCCCCUGACUUUGGGAUAACUUCAUGAAACUGGGGCUAAUACCGGAUAGGAGCUCCUGCUGCAUGGUGGGGGUUGGAAAGUUUCGGCGGUUGGGGAUGGACUCGCUGCUUAUCAGCUUGUUGGUGGGGUAGUUGCUUACCAAGGCUUUGACGGGUAGCCGGCCUGAGAGGGUGACCGGCCACAUUGGGACUGAGAUACGGCCCAG
rnacentral:rRNA from 1 species